rnacentral:rRNA from 1 species
GACGAACGCUAGCGGCAGGCCUAACACAUGCAAGUCGAGGGGUAGAGUUAGCCUGCUAACUUGAGACCGGCGCACGGGUGCGUAACGCGUAUGCAAUCUACCUUGUACAGGGGGAUAGCCCAGAGAAAUUUGGAUUAAUACCCCAUGGUGUUUAGAAGUGGCAUCACUUUUUUACUAAAGUUCCAACGGUACAAGAUGAGCAUGCGUCCCAUUAGCUAGUUGGUAUGGUAACGGCAUACCAAGGCUAUGAUGGGUAGGGGUCCUGAGAGGGAGAUCCCCCACACUGGUACUGAGACACGGACCAGACUCCUACGGGAGGCAGCAGUGAGGAAUAUUGGUCAAUGGUCGCAAGACUGAACCAGCCAUGCCGCGUGCAGGAAGACGGUCCUAUGGAUUGUAAACUGCUUUUAUACAGGAAGAAACCCUCUCACGUGUGGGAGCUUGACGGUACUGUAUGAAUAAGCAUCGGCUAACUCCGUGCCAGCCGCCGCGGUAA